GAUGAACGCUGGCGGCGUGCCUAAUACAUGCAAGUCGAACGCUGAAGGAGGAGCUUGCUCUUCUGGAUGAGUUGCGAACGGGUGAGUAACGCGUAGGUAACCUGCCUGGUAGCGGGGGAUAACUAUUGGAAACGAUAGCUAAUACCGCAUGACAACAGUUAUUGCAUGAUAACUGUUUAAAAGGGGCAACUGCUCCACUACCAGAUGGACCUGCGUUGUAUUAGCUAGUUGGUGAGGUAACGGCUCACCAAGGCGACGAUACAUAGCCGACCUGAGAGGGUGAUCGGCCACACUGGGACUGAGACACGGCCCAGACUCCUACGGGAGGCAGCAGUAGGGAAUCUUCGGCAAUGGACGGAAGUCUGACCGAGCAACGCCGCGUGAGUGAAGAAGGGUUUCGGAUCGUAAAGCUCGGUUGUAAGAGAAGAACGAGUGUGAGAGUGGAAAGUUCACACUGUGACGGUAUCUUACCAGAAAGGGACGGCUAACUACGUG
rnacentral:rRNA from 1 species